rnacentral:rRNA from 1 species
UUGCAGGCUGCAACUCGCCUGCAUGAAGUCGGAAUUGCUAGUAAUCGCGGAUCAGCAUGCCGCGGUGAAUACGUUCCCGGGCCUUGUACACACCGCCCGUCACACCAUGGGAGUCGGUAACACCCGAAGUCUGUAGCCUGACGCAAGAGGGCGCAGCCGAAGGUGGGAUUGAUGACUGGGGUGAAGUCGUAACAAGGUAAC